rnacentral:rRNA from 1 species
AGCGGAGGAAAAGAAACUAACAAGGAUUCCCCUAGUAGCGGCGAGCGAAGCGGGAAGAGCUCAAAUUUAUAAUCUGGCACCUUCGGUGUCCGAGUUGUAAUCUCUAGAAGUGUUUUCCGCGUUGGACCGCGCAUAAGUCUGUUGGAAUACAGCGGCACAGUGGUGAGACCCCCGUAUGUGGUGCGGACGCUCAGCGCUUUGUGAUACACUUUCGAAGAGUCGAGUUGUUUGGGAAUGCAGCUCAAAUUGGGUGGUAAAUUCCAUCUAAAGCUAAAUAUUGGCGAGAGACCGAUAGCGAACAAGUACCGUGAGGGAAAGAUGAAAAGCACUUUGGAAAGAGAGUUAACAGUACGUGAAAUUGUUGGAAGGGAAACGCUUGAAGUCAGACUUGCUUGCCGGGCAACCGGUUUGCAGGCCAGCAUCAGUUUUCCGGGGUGGAUAAUGGUAGAGAGAAGGUAGCAGUUUCGGCUGUGUUAUAGCUCUCUACUGGAUACACCUUGGGGGACUGAGGAACGCAGUGUGCCUUACGGCGGAGGUUUCGACCUCUUCACACUAGGAUGCGGG